ACAACUAAGAGAAUAAGAGAUUGUUUCAUACAUGCUUGCUGGUCUAGAUUUAGAUUAUGAUGCGUUGGUUACAUUGAUCAUUACAAGAUUCGAUCCCAUAUCAUUCGCUGAUCUUUAUGCACACAUGUUGAGCUUUGGAC